rnacentral:rRNA from 1 species
CCUACGGGGGGCAGCAGUGGGGAAUAUUGGACAAUGGGCGAAAGCCUGAUCCAGCCAUGCCGCGUGUGUGAAGAAGGCCUUCGGGUUGUAAAGCACUUUCAGUGGGGAAGAAAGCCUUGGGGCUAAUACCCUCGAGGAAGGACAUCACCCACAGAAGAAGCACCGGCUAACUCCGUGCCAGCAGCCGCGGUAAUACGGAGGGUGCGAGCGUUAAUCGGAAUUACUGGGCGUAAAGCGCGCGUAGGCGGUCUGAUAAGCCGGUUGUGAAAGCCCCGGGCUCAACCUGGGAACGGCAUCCGGGACUGUCAGGCUAGAGUGCAGGAGAGGAAGGUAGAAUUCCCGGUGUAGCGGUGAAAUGCGUAGAGAUCGGGAGGAAUACCAGUGGCGAAGGCGGCCUUCUGGACUGACACUGACGCUGAGGUGCGAAAGCGUGGGUAGCAAACAGGAUUAGAUACCCUAGUAGUC